GCCGAAGUGGCGGAACAGGCAGACGCGCUACGUUCAGGGCGUAGUGGGCAAGAGCCCGUGAGGGUUCAAAUCCCUCCUUCGGCA
rnacentral:tRNA from 1 species